UGAGCGAAGAUGGCGGCCGAGAGGGAACCUCCUCCGCUGGGGGACGGGAAGCCCACCGACUUUGAGGAUCUGGAGGACGGAGAGGACUUGUUCACCAGCACUGUCUCCACCCUAGAGUCAAGUCCAUCAUCUCCAGAACCAACUAGUCUUCCUGCAGAAGAUAUUAGUGCAAACUCCAAUGGCCCAAAACCCACAGAAGUUGUAUUAGAUGAUGACAGAGAAGAUCUUUUUGCAGAAGCCACAGAAGAAGUUUCUUUGGACAGCCCUGAAAGGGAACCUAUCCUAUCCUCGGAACCUUCUCCUGCAGUCACACCUGUCACUCCUACUACACUCAUUGCUCCUAGAAUUGAAUCAAAGAGUAUGUCUGCUCCCGUGAUCUUUGAUAGAUCCAGGGAAGAGAUUGAAGAAGAAGCAAAUGGAGAUAUUUUUGACAUAGAAAUUGGUGUAUCAGAUCCAGAAAAAGUUGGUGAUGGCAUGAAUGCCUAUAUGGCAUAUAGAGUAACAACAAAGACUUCUCUUUCCAUGUUCAGUAAGAGUGAAUUUUCAGUGAAAAGAAGAUUCAGCGACUUUCUUGGUUUGCACAGCAAAUUAGCAAGCAAGUAUUUACAUGUUGGUUAUAUUGUGCCACCAGCUCCAGAAAAGAGUAUAGUAGGUAAGCACAAAUUUUUCAAAAAUUAAUUUUUGUUACUGUUACUAGUUCAGUUUUAACUGUAUAGAUUUGUGGAUUUCUUAAUCAUUCACUGUCAACAUUUUAUAAUGUGUAGAGAUAACUGAAUUUAAAUAUUUCAUUUAUACUAAUCAUGCAUGGAUUGAAGAAUGUAUUGGUAAUAGUUUUAUUUUCUAACACUUGAGGAUUUUUGUUUAUGUAAUACAGUAAUGUUAAAUAUUGGGUUGAGGCCGUGUGUGGU
rnacentral:sRNA from 1 species